rnacentral:misc_RNA from 1 species
GAAGCGAAACCAGGCGAAAUGGCUCCGAUUGGUGGCGUGUGGGCGCGCCUACGCAGUUGGCAUCGUUCCGGCUCCAGAACAUGAGGUGAUGCGUUCAUAUCCAGGCAGGCAACAAUGAAAUGCGGCAACUUGAAAUGGCAAGUGACAUCGAUAAAAUGUCAGAUUGCCGACAAAUUUACUCAGAGGCACCCAAACUUAGGUUCCCCUCUGUGCAGCGAGUCCGCGCAACUGUGGGUAUGUGGCAUAAACAUUGUUGAAAGCGAUGUAGAAGAAGAAGGAGCUAGGUAGGUAUAGUUCCCUGGCGCAUCAUAUGAAGAGCGGUUUAUCAUCUCACUCAAUGAAGAGAACCCGUUUUCAGACGCAUGUUCCGGCGUUGUCGCGAUGAGCAGUCUCGAUUCUGCAUAGCGCGGUAAACUCGCCGCUCUUGCGAUGGCGUCGACGGCGCCGGAGCGCAAACGGCGCGACGGCGACUCUUCGUCGACGUCGCCAAGUAGCAGUAGCACUUCGGACAGCACGUCGACGACCGUGUUCGACGUGACCAAGGCCGUUUUCACGACGACGACCACAACGUCGGAAGAGGACGACAGCGGCCGUCAGGUUGUGCAGGCAUCCAGCUCCGAAAUUGCAGUGAAUGUGCAGCAGCAGGGCCCCGCAGUUUCGGGCAUCACCUCUCAGACGCUUCAGGGACCGACAGGGUUCAACGUGAUUUUGCCCAUGGGGCGCUCUGUGCCAGUUGUGUUCACCGACCAGGGAAUUUGUAUUGCUGGCUACAAUGCUCCCGUCGCUGUGACGGAAACCGAAGACGAGGUGACAACCACCACGACCACUACCGAGCAGCAGCAGGCACAAGACACUUCUGUAGCUGGCAUCUUCCAGUUGCUCCCUGCCGGGUCAUACGUGCCUACAUUUGUCAACAUGGGCCAACUAGAUAACGAGGACGAAGAGUGCGAUGAGGAGGAGAAGCCUGUGGAAGAAUAUGAUGACGAGGGACCCGGAGGAGAGGAAGAUGCAAAACCAGCCAUUCGCAUCGUCGAGGCUGCAGUCCACAAGGAGGAGACGUUCGUCAAUUUGGGGCCGUUGCAGGGAGAGACGGUGGGCACCGCUGGCUGGCCACAACAAGCACCACCACUGACCUUGCCCCCAACUUUAAUGAUGCCACCACCGAUGUCGCCACCCAUGCUGCAACCAAUGUAUGCCGGUAUGCAGGCGGGACAGGCCUACAUGCCGCAACAGUAUGGCAUGCUUCCACCUUUUGGGUGGCAAGCGCAGAUGAUGCAGAGUCAGGAUCAAGCUCAUGUUUACGGGCAGCCCUUUGGCAUGCCACCGCAGUGGCCGGCGUACCAGCCGUUCUGGCCAGGAAUGCAGUGGCAGACAGGACAGUCACAGUGGAUGCAGGGUCCGUACAUGCCAGAAGGCUCCCAAAUGAUGCAGCAGCAGCAGCAGCAGCAGCAGUGGAAUGAACAGCAGCCCCAACAGGAGCUUAUGACAGAAGAGCUGCAGCAAGAGAUUCUGGUGUCGCGCAGAAGAGGUCAAACACCGUCACGUUUGUCGAGGAAGAUUCGCAGCGUGUCUUUACCUUGCCGAAUAUCCCUGGAGGAUUUCCCUUCGCAAACGACAUCUCUGACGGAAGUCGAGGUGCGAGCGCGUGCUAGCCCACGUCCUUGCACAGUCCAUAGGGUGCUGUCCACACAGGCCUCUCUGCAACGUACUACGCCAGCAUCCAGGUGUGUAAGUGUAGAAUCGGUGACGCAUGUGGAAAGUGCUGGCAAGUUGGCCAAGGGAGAGGAUGGAAGCCAGGUCACCCAGGUGGUACACGUGUUAUCUGACCAGCUGAAUGCAGAAGGUACACCGAUUACCCAGACAACAUUGGGAACAGAGACCUGUCCAACAGUUCAGGAGCUUUGGAGUAAGGAGGCACAGCUUGGCCGUGAUGCAACCCAUGUGCAUGCUGAUGCUCCCUGCAUGACAUAUGGAACACAAACUGUGCAUGCUAUGACGGGGCCAGCUGAAGUUGCAUUUGGCCAGGAAACUUCCGAGCCAGCUUGCAGGUUUCCCUGCCCGCUAACUGCCAGAGUUCGCAGCGAUACGGUAGACGUACAAAUUAUGGAAGAAGCCACUGAAGUGAAUAGUAAGGCACGUGGAGUGCAAGCGACUCAAGAACAUGAACCACCACGUGCAGCGGCCGGAACGCUUGUUUUCCAAGAACAUACAGAAGCACCGCAGCCUGUUGUCGCUGUGCAAAUUGUUCGGCAGCCGACUGUGCCACCACACAUAGCAGUCGAGGUGCAGGCGGGUGGAGGAGCAGUCGAGCCAGGCCACCUGGUUUCUAGGAUGCACACCGUGCAGCAGCAUGAAGAACCACCUUCUGUGGCAUUUGGUGUACAGACAAGGGAGCACCAUGACACUUUUGCGGUGACUAAGCUAAUAGCUCUCAAUACGCUCGUUUCAGAUCCCCACGUAACAUUGGCUAUGCAGACCACAAACGUCUCCUCGCAAGAGAUGCUAGUGGGGCAAACCCUCAAAGCACAGUGUGGGCCUCGGGGAGCUCAGGUGUCCUCGGUAAUCGGUGCUUCUGGAAGAGCUUGUACAGACGGAACGACACAGAUUUCGACGAGCCCACUGCAUGUGCGCAUAACUAAAGUGCCGUACAUACACACGGAAAGCCAGGCAGUUCAAACGUUGUCUCUUGAAUCUGUGGCCCCAGUGCCUCGUCAUGCCGCUCAGACAAUUUCAGUUGGGCAACAAUGUGAAGGGAUUCAGACUGAAAUGCUCAUCGAUUCGACUGCUGUUUCUCCGGUAAUUGGCUUGAAUCCUCCGCAGCAGCGUGAUUUCAGUGCGCAGCAUGAAGGUGUUUUUCGGGAUCCUCAGUUGCCAUCAGCGCUGCGCGAAAGACCACAUUGUGAUAUUGAGGUGCAGUGUGACUAUGAGCCCUUUGUCCAGGCUACAGCAAACAUCACUGCAGUGAAAGUAGAACAGAAGUAUGAGCACGUUGAUGGGCAUCGAGAAGCCUUUGUUCAGUGCAAUUAUGAACCUCUUGAUGGAGCAGCUACACACGUGACAACACCUCCAAGGCCCUCACUUGACGCUGAAGUGCAAUUUGGGCAUGAUCCUGUUAAGGACUUCGCAAAUUACGUUCAACCUCCUGUGCAGCCGGUGCAUGACUUUGGGGCACAAUGCGUAUAUGAGCCUGAGAGAGUGCUCGCAAGGACCGCUUUCAGAGUCCAAAGCAGAACUAUGCAUGAUUUUGAGCAGCAACACGAUUAUGGUGCGGUGGGCCGGGCUGCAAGAAAUGUUUACAUGCCUCAGGAAAUGCCUGUGAAAGAUGCUGAACAGCAGCACGUUUAUGAACAGAAAAACUGGGGUGCCAAAGUGACCUAUGGUGCCAAAAGUGUGCCAAUGCGAGACUUUGGAAUGCAGCACGACAUUUCCGUUGCGAUGUCUCCACCACCUAUGGCAGCAGGCGUCUUGUACGGAAUGGUAGACAUGGCCGUCGGUGAUGGUAGGCCACACGAUGUUGGGGAAGGCCAACACAGGUUUCUGCGGAGACCCGUGUCUCGUGUACACUCGGGGCCGUCCUUGAGUAGCUGCGCGUCUUCUGUUUUUAUGUUCGGCAACUUGGAGGGCCCUCAUAUGGCGAGUGCCGGCACCCAAGCCGGUGAAACCGGUCAUCACCGUCCAUCGCCGACGUUUGCCGUCUCGGCUCCGAGAUCAGAGACGGCCUUGUACCCGUGCGUAGCGAUCUGCUCAAGGAACACGGUGAACCAUCCCUGCAUGGUGAAUGUAAGCAGCUAUCCGGGGCGCCUGUCCCAAGCGGCUCAGAUGAGGGAUGCAGUCUUUCAGACGGAGGAACCAGUUGCCGUGAGAGCUCCUCACCGCAACAGAGACUUUGUAGACGGGGACCUCGUAGACUCGAGAUCUCAGUCACCCUCUAGGGAACCUGCCACAAGGACACCACUCAGAGAAACUGCCGUACAGACCUUUGCGGGGUCACCAGCAUCGCGUACGGUGUCACCGCCCUCAUCGCCUUCGUACUGUCCUGGUCCGUUCGAAAUGACCCCGCUGAGCUCCUCGCCAUGCACCUCGCCCGGUCGUGAUGCAGGUCUCCAGACGGAUGGGUUUGCCGAUGUCCGUAGAAGUCCACCCGGAGGGCCCUUCCGACACGACGAGUUUACUGGGCAAGUUUCCGGGGCAACUAGAAGUCUCGUGCAUGACAUAAUGAUUCAGGCAAGCACUGGGGCACCGGCUGCCAGUGGUGCCUGGGGUUCCUCGGUACCUCGGCCCACCAGCGCUGCACCUGUGACUGAAGUCUACCCGUGCGGCCAUUUGCCCAAUGUGUUGCAGAUGAGGGACAUCCCUCCAAGCCCACCCCCACUUUCGCCGCCUCCGCAUUCGCCACCUUUGUGCCCCUGUUUGGCAGGCCACGGUUGGGCCCCCGUUGUAGUGGAGCACAAGGUUGGCAUCGGCGGAAAGUUAGCGCAGCUCCUGAUGCUGAGGAAGCAGCAGGGCUUGGCUCCCGAGCAGCAAGGCAUGACUCCUGAGCAGCCUGACGUCGAAGACAAGGGCACCUCUGAGGGGCCUUACGUGGGACCUGACGGUGAGCAGGACUACGGAGACAAAGGCAGUUCGCGGGCAGAACAGUAUUCAGGGGAAGGUGACUACUUGGAAACCGGUGCGGUCCUUGGGGCUGCUGGUCUUGUGGAAGAUGGCUCGGCUGUCCCCGGUGCAGCCAGGAGGUCAUCUAUUGAAACAACUAGCAAUGUGACGAGAUCAACUAAGGUGGCUGCCAUACUACCUGAGGUUACUGUGGCCUGCUUCCUUCUGGCGUUACUUCUGGUACUGGUUGCUUCCGCCGCUCUUCUUUCUUGGACAACGCGUCGACAUGCGCGUCUUGCUCUUGCUGCAGAAAGCACCAAAAAGGCCUUUCAUCCCAGCAACAUAACGUACAUCAUACCACCAUUCAGCGUUCUUCCACACGAUCGUCAUCUGCAAACCAUCGACCCAAGCCUGCAUGGGAAGACCGUCACGCCAGGUCCAGGCAAUUGGACUGUUACACCCUCACAUGAUGGUCCGCCGUCGCCCUUUGUUCCGACAACGAUAACAACACCUGGCUCGGCUUCCUAUGAGCUCUGCACCACCGAAUUCUGUGUGAAAGAAGGACAGAUGCUGCGCUACUUGUUGAAGUCAGACACGGACCCAUGCAAGGACUUCUACAAGUACGUGUGUGACCAGUGGCCAUCACAGCAACCGCCCAGUGUUUCCUACACGGGUGCAGACGGUGCAUUGGCAGCAGACAUUGAGGCCAGGAUGCAUGCAUUCCUUGAUGGUCCGGGAAUGUCAAGCAUCCAGCCCUUAUUCACCUUCUGGACUAACUGCAACAAUCAAGGCUCGGUCCCUCAGGACCGGGUUCUGAGCCACGUGCGAGCACUCGGCCUGGAGCUACCGGGCUCACGAGCAGCAUCAUCGCCCGAGCGUCUCAUGGUGCUUGCCGUGACGCUGGCCCAGGAGUUUGGCCUCUUUGCAUUGCUCACGGUCGAGCUGGACAGUGACCCAGAGGGCAAGGCCCAACAUGUUGUGGCGGUUGACGAGCCCGAACUGGCAUGGGGCCGGAUGAAGCCUCCACUGGUUACCGCUGAGGACACCACACAGUGGAACAUGCUCAUGAGGGUGGCGCAACCCCUCGCUUUGCUGCUGCUCUCUGAUCUCAGCACGGUGCAGUCUGUAGCUCACAGCUUUGCGCGUAUCACCAUGGCCAUGACCAACGUCUCGGUAGCCAACCGCCACAUUUCGGAUCGCAUGGCCCUGUACGAAAUGCACAGCUACCAGGAACUGAACAGGCUGGACCCGUGCAGCUGCUCAAUGGUCUUUUCGGGAGCAGCCAAGACUUGCGGCCGUCCUCACGGCUGCUAGUCAAGGCACCUCGCUUUGUGGAACUCGUCUAUGCGCUGCUGGCCACAGACAGGGAAGCCCUGCACCAGUACAUGGUCAUCCUGGCACUGCUGCACUUGGCUCCAUUCCUGGACGUGCCGGAUGCGUCCAGUGCCUUCCUGUCGUCCCUGACGGGUGAGGACGUGACUUGGGGGACGCCACCGCGGUGGCGCGUCUGCCU